UGGGGAAUUUUGGACAAUGGGCGCAAGCCUGAUCCAGCCAUGCCGCGUGCAGGAUGAAGGCCUUCGGGUUGUAAACUGCUUUUGUACGGAACGAAAGGACUCCUUCUAAUAAAGGGGGUCCAUGACGGUACCGUAAGAAUAAGCACCGGCUAACUACGUGCCAGCAGCCGCGGUAUUACGUAGGGUGCGAGCGUUAAUCGGCAUUACUGGGCGUAAAGCGUGCGCAGUCGGUUAUAUAAGACAGAUGUGAAAGCUCCGGGCUCGACCUGGGAACUGCAUUUGUGACUGUAUAGCGAGAGUACGGCAGAGGGGGAUGGAAUUCCGCGUGUAGCAGUGAAAUGCGUAGAUAUGCAGAGGAACACCGAUGGCGAAGGCAUACCCCUAGGCCUGUACUGACGCUCAUGCACGAGAGCGUGGGGAGCAAACA
rnacentral:rRNA from 1 species